AGCAGUUCAGUAAUUUGAGUUCGCUGACUGUAGCUAUAGAGAAGUUCAGUGCUUUUGUUCGAUCAUAGUACACACUGUUCAGUAGCAAUAGCAGUUCGAAAAGCAACAAUCACAGUUCAGUACCAGUAACAGUUCGAAAGUAGCAAUCACUGUUCAGUGAUCACAGUAACAAAUUUAGUUAAAUGUGAUACAAAAGCAGUUAAAUGCACCCAAAAUGCAUUAAUUAUUUAAUUGUGAUUACAAAAACAGAUUCCGCAAACCACAAAAGUGAAGAAACAUUUAAUCAACGCCAGGACUCUGUGUCUUUAUUUCAUGCACAAAAAAUUCGGUUUCGCAUUCAGUUUAACACAUUGAGUGUCAAGGGGUUUUGACGAAACCUUCCCCGGGUGCCAAGCACAUUUUUUGCUAUAAACUGGUGUAAAAGUAGAAAAUAUUCAGUUCUGCGCCAAUCCCGGAUGAUUUUGUGGUUUAUUUUGGAUUUUAUAACGGUUUCUUUUUGUCGCACGUUUCCUUACGACAUGGCACUGCACGAUGGAAUUGCAAUCGUAAAAAUCGAUGUCGUACGAAAAUGUGCGACUAGAUCUCACAUCCCCGCAGCCUGUAUCGCAAUCAAAACAUAUUAUCACAAAAGAGUAGAUGAAAAUAAUAAAACCAUCCGACGUGCUUGUGUUUUAUGCUACGCUGAAGCAAAAAGAAAAUUUAGUCGGAAGGAAGCAAGAAAGAAUAUGAAAAGGACAACUACGUACUGUCCGCAAUGCCCCAACAUUCCCGAAUUGUGCAUUGAUUGCUUCCCAAAAUAUACACAUCUAAAAAAUUAAUGUAAAAAAUCAAUGUAAUUGAAGUUAUCAUAUCCUAAUUUUAAUUUUUCAAUAUCUUUUUUAUACUUUUUUCCGAAAUAUCGAAUGAAUUCCAAUAAAUUUUCAAAAUUAAAAAGAACCUCCGAGUUUUAAUCAUAAAAACCGCAAAAAUGAAGAUAUCUCUAUGAAGCUUGGACCAGAAUUUAGGGCAAACAUUAGGCCCUAAUGACAUUACCUAAGGCCAGACAAUGCUUGUCGCACGAAAACGUGUAGCCAUGGCACUCAAUGUGUUAACAAUGUAAUUUAGACUUUUCCACGGCACCGAAAAUUGCACUUCCGUUCACUUCAACUGUUCAUGGGUGCAAGAAUGAGUUCAAUUAAUAAUAAAGGAAAAACAGCAGAGGAGACCGGCGCUCCGACAAAGCCGGAAGAAACUAGUUGUUCCGGAAAAAUAGCUGCGUUCUCAACGAGCUCUAAAAGACCAGUGGAAAGGCGGUAGCUAAGAUUGGCCUAGAGGCAAUGGCAAGCACUAGCACUCGAGUUGCAGCUAACCCUAACUCCAGUAAAAGGCGGCAGCCCGAGCCAGGCGGUAAUGCGAAAGUUGGAGUUGUAAGUAGUGUUUUCGCCAAAGAAUGACCCAUUCUCACGGUCAAGGAUGUAAAAACAGCAAAGUAUGCGGAGAGACGACGUGAUGCGUACUUAUUAAGAAGGGUAAAUCUGCAACCGCCAUCAAUGGAGGAGCUCCAGAAGUCCAUAGAAUGCGCGAAAGCAAUUCUACCCAAUUUUAAAAUUUAACCGCCAAAAGCAGCGGUGAAGCGACAAAGGUCAGCUGAAGAGACUAAGCCGUCAGCAAAAAAACCGAAAACAAGGGUUGAAUUACGGAUUAAAGCGGAUGCAGAUGCCAUCAAUAACCAAGGUGAGUACUCCUAAGGGUCUGAGACACUCAAAAUUAUAUACUGAGAAAGAGCUUUUAAGCGACUCGCAGGAGAAUGCAGCAGGCCUUCUUAACCGCGUGGCAAGAGAACAGCCUGACUUUGUCCUCAUUCAAGAGCCAUGGGUUAAUGGACGUCGUAUUUGCGGACUGAAGACACCGGACUACUCGUUAUACUGAACUGUGCAGCAAAUUCCCGUUUCUACCGACUACCACGGAUUUCCGAAACCCACUAGAAUUAAAACUAAAUACGUCCCUCAAUAUCGCCUUCUCCACUAGAGAGAUGUUGGACAAGGGCGAGGUAAACAAGGAAAAAGAAAUAAGCAUUUAUACAUACGGAUCUAAACUAGAUAAACGAAUGGGAGGUGGUGUCUUUUCGGAAAAAUUAGAUACCAGAAUCGCCUUCCAACUACCAGACUACUGCAGCGUGUUUCAAGCUGAAAUUGCUGCAAUAAAUGAAAGCCUGCUAUGCAAUGGGUUCCUGGACACAGUGAUAUUCCAGGUAACUGUGUGGCAGAUGAACUAGCCAGAUUAGGCACAACAUUACAAUUGGAUCCGAGUAAGGAGGAUAAAUGCAUACCGUUAGCCACUUGUAAGCACUUAAUUGAUAAGCAGGUCAUAGAUUGGGUUGAAUCCAGGUGGAUAGAAUCUAUGACUUGCUCAACUAGCAGGCAGACGUGGCCUAAUUGGAAUAAAAGCCGUGCGAGCCAGCUACUGAAAUUUAAAAGGAAGGACAUAAGAACUCUAGUGGCAGUGCUAACUGGUCAUUGUCUUAUUGGAAGACAUGCCUACCGACUGGGGUUACCAAACAAUGACUAGAAGCUGCCAGGAAAUAGAAGAAGAAGAGACUGUUGUGCAUCUUCUAUGUGAAUGCAAAGCAUUGUACAGGAAAAGACUCACAACAAUCGGACAUGAUUUUCUAGACAACAUCUUCGUUAAACUUGUUGAGCUACUCAACUUUAUAAAUGCCACAGAGUGGUUCAAAGAGGACAUUGUAGUGUAAGGGGCUUUAGUCCUGGUGGAUUCACAAUUGGCCUCCUAAAAGCCUAGGUGCGUCAUUUGACACCUACUUUACCUACCUACCUACCUAAUAUUAGGGUUAAUUUCUGAAAUUGCUAACACCCGAAACUCAUUUGUAGUUCAUUUUAAAAUAUCUAUUAAAAUACGAUGCGUUAUGCAAGUUCGUUCAUUAUCAUUUUCAGUAAGAUCUUACUGUUCAUUCCGCAGUGGAUAGAAAAUCAUAACCAUUUCGCGGAAAUAUUCCACUCUAGCCACGUCAGGACUAAAUCAUCUGUACCGGAUUAUACACGGUUUGGUACGUCCUUUAACAAAACCGAUACUGCUACGAAUAUUUAAGUCGACUCUGAAGGAAGGUUUUGAAGUUCAGCUUUAGGUUUUACCAUUCGAACCUGCUCUUAAGGACGGGAGGUAUUAAUAAAUAUUUCACAAUAAUUUGGACCAUUUGGUGAAUUAAGCGAUUA